rnacentral:rRNA from 1 species
CAUCCUGCCCAGUGAAUUUAUUUUCAACGGCCGCGGUAUCCUGACCGUGCAAAGGUAGCAUAAUCAUUUGCCUUUUAAUUGAAGGCUAGUAUGAAAGGACACACAAGAAUAAAGCUGUCUCAUUUGGGUUAUCUUUAAACUGAUUUUUAGGUGAAGAAGCCUAAAUUCCUAUAAAGGACAAGAAGACCCUAUAGAGCUUUAUCAGUAAAAGUUAUUAAACUUAUUUACUGAUUUGGUUGGGACAACCAAAAGACAAUAAUACCUCUUUUUUCCAAAAUACCACCCUCACCCAUAACAGAAACAGAAUUUCAAGCUACCUUAGGGAUAACAGGCUAAUCCCACUAGAGAGACCACAUUGACAGUGGGGAUUGGCACCUCGAUGUUGGCUUAGUGUACCAUUAGGCGCAAGCCGGCCUUAAAAUA